UGAGUAACACGUGGGUAACCUGCCCAUCAGAAGGGGAUAACACUUGGAAACAGGUGCUAAUACCGUAUAACAAUCGAAACCGCAUGGUUUUGAUUUGAAAGGCGCUUUCGGGUGUCGCUGAUGGAUGGACCCGCGGUGCAUUAGCUAGUUGGUGAGGUAACGGCUCACCAAGGCGACGAUGCAUAGCCGACCUGAGAGGGUGAUCGGCCACAUUGGGACUGAGACACGGCCCAAACUCCUACGGGAGGCAGCAGUAGGGAAUCUUCGGCAAUGGACGAAAGUCUGACCGAGCAACGCCGCGUGAGUGAAGAAGGUUUUCGGAUCGUAAAACUCUGUUGUUAGAGAAGAACAAGGAUGAGAGUAACUGUUCAUCCCUUGACGGUAUCUAACCAGAAAGCCACGGCUAACUACGUGCCAGCAGCCGCGGUAAUACGUAGGUGGCAAGCGUUGUCCGGAUUUAUUGGGCGUAAAGCGAGCGCAGGCGGUUUCUUAAGUCUGAUGUGAAAGCCCCCGGCUCAACCGGGGAGGGUCAUUGGAAACUGGGAGACUUGAGUGCAGAAGAGGAGAGUGGAAUUCCAUGUGUAGCGGUGAAAUGCGUAGAUAUAUGGAGGAACACCAGUGGCGAAGGCGGCUUCUCUGGUCUGUAACUGACGCUGAGGCUCGAAAGCGUGGGGAGCAAACAGGAUUAGAUACCCUGGUAGUCCACGCCGUAAACGAUGAGUGCUAAGUGUUGGAGGGUUUCCGCCCUUCAGUGCUGCAGCUAACGCAUUAAGCACUCCGCCUGGGGAGUACGACCGCAAGGUUGAAACUCAAAGGAAUUGACGGGGGCCCGCACAAGCGGUGGAGCAUGUGGUUUAAUUCGAAGCAACGCGAAGAACCUUACCAGGUCUUGACAUCCUUUGACCACUCUAGAGAUAGAGCUUCCCCUUCGGGGGCAAAGUGACAGGUGGUGCAUGGUUGUCGUCAGCUCGUGUCGUGAG
rnacentral:rRNA from 1 species